rnacentral:tRNA from 1 species
GGGGCUGGAGCUUAGUGGUUGAGCAUCUGCUUAGUAUGCGGAAGGUCCCAGUUUCAAUCCCCAGCAUCUCCA